ACUCUAGUUGAUCCUGCUAGAGGACACUGCUAUCGGCUUGGGGUUAAGACAUGCAAGUGGAACGGGCUCGCAUCCGAGUCCGUCGCGAACGGCUCAGUAGUGUCGCUAACCUACCCUGUGGAGGCGGACACCGCCGGGAAACUGGCGUUAAUCCGCCGUAGGAGCAUUGUUCUGGAAAUGAUGUUGCUCCGAUAUGGGUGCCCUAGGUAUGUUGGGCUCUCCGCCGCCCCGAACGGGCGAUGUAAGUCGUGGCCCGGAGAAGGGCACUGAGACAAGGGCCCUAGCCCCACGGGGUGCAGCAGUUACGAAACCUCACCAAUGUGCGAAAGCACGAGUGGGCCAAGCCGAGUGAUGGGGGAUAACUCCAUCUGUGGCGCAUCCGUAGGGAGGAGCGCUAGAAAGGAGAGGGCAAGGCUGGUGCCAGCCGCCGCGGUAAAACCAGCUCUUCGAGUGGUGUCCACAAUUAUUGAGCUUAAAGCGUCCGUAGCCGGUUUGGUAGGUCCCUGCUUAAAUCCGGCCGCCCAACGGUCGGCCUGGUAGGGAUACCGCCUUACUUGGGAGCGGGAGACGGUGACGGUAUUCCAUAGGUAAGGGUGAAAUCUAAUGAUCUAUGGAGGACCACCAGUGGCGAAGGCGGUCGCCGAGAACGCGUCCCCGACGGUGAGGGACGAAACCCAGGGGAGCGAAUCGGAUUAGAUACCCGAGUAGUCCUGGGCGUAAACGAUGCCCGUUAAGUGUUGCAUUGGCCACGAGCCACUGCGGUGCUGUAGCGAAAGCGAUAAACGGGCCGCUUGGGAAGUACGGUCGCAAGACUGAAUUUCCUCCAGGUUUGAGGAAAUCUGAAGGGGUGGGCUUUAUACGGGAUGACCAUUAACUAGAAGACGAUGAGAGAACAUUUCACUCCUCGUGAGCGCGAAGCGCGAGAGGAGGUGCGCUCAAGAAUCAAGAUGGAGUCUAACGACGAGAGUCUUGGUUAUCUAUUGGGUGCAAUACGUGAUGGCUCGGUCUUCUAUGACAAAGCAAGUCGGAACUACUUCACGAUGUACUAUCAGAAACAUCGUGAGUGGCUAGAAGAAUCCAUCAGUCCACGGAUGGAAAGAAGGGCAAGAUCGAGGAGUACACUCCCGGUCACUUCCGACUGAAUGUAUCGUCCAAAGAUUUGUACGAGAUGUGGAAACAGGAUUAUGGUUUUCCUGAAGAUGGAGAGGGCCAAGGUUCUUGGAACGUUCCAUCUGAGAUUAAGUCCGCUAACUCACACGUUAAGGCGUCCUAUAUCCGGGGCGUGUUCGAUACAGAAGGUGAUGUAUCUCCACGAAGCAGCAAAACUGCCUACGUAGGCAUCAGUCAGAAGAAUCGAACAUUCCUUGAAGAGACCCGGCGAUUCCUUUCGGUUCUCGACAUACAUCCGGGUAAGACGCACGUGAUUGACAAGAAAAGUGGCACGCUUCGGAUGGCGAUUUCUGAGAAGAAGUCGUUGCUUCGAUUCAUCAAGAUUAUUGAUUCAGAGCAUCCCGUAAAGCGCCGCGAACUUCAGAGAGUACGAAGCCUGUUGGAGCAGGAAACUUAAAGGAAUUGGCGGGGGAGCACCACAAGGGGUGGAGCUUGCGGUUUAAUUGGACUCAACGCCGGAAAACUUACCCGCCCAGACAGCCGAAUGAGAGCCAGACUGAUGAUCUUGCUCGACGAGCUGAGAGCUGGUGCAUGGCCAUCGUAAAUUCGUGCCGUGAGGUAUCAGCUUAAGUGCAGAGCUGGUGCAUGGCCAUCGUAAAUUCGUGCCGUGAGGUAUCAGCUUAAGUGCUGCAACGAAUGAGAUCCCUGCCACCUAGUUGCCAGCCGGGAGCUUCGGCUCCGUCGGGGCACACUAGGGGGACCGCCAGCGAAAAGCUGGAGGAAGGUGGGGGCCACGGUAGGUCCGUAUGCCGCGAUAUGGGCGGGGCCACACGCGUGCUACAAUGGCGAGGACAAUGCGUCACGACACCGAAAGGUGAAGUCAAUCGCGAAACCUCGUCGUAGUUGGGAUCGGGGGUUGGAACUCACCCCCGUGAACCUGGAAAGACCUGUCAUUUCGACUGGUCUCGGGAGAUCCCUAGUAUCCGUGUGUCACUAUCGCACGGAGAAUACGUCCCUGCUUCUUGCACACACCGCCCGUCGCUCCAUGCGAGCGGCUUUGGGGUGAGGUGUCGUCCAUUGGGCGAUGACGAAUCUUGGGGUCGCAAGUAGGGAGAAGUCGUAACAAGGUAUCCGUAGCGGAAGCUGCGGAUGGAAGAGGAUGA
rnacentral:rRNA from 1 species